UCCUACUUUAAUGUGCCAAAUGAGUGGAUAAGGAUGAUUGGUUGGCCAUUCAAAUUCAAAAUAAAGUUUGAAUUUGAAUGAGCAACCAAUCUUAGCACCUUGACCUUAUCCUCUUUUAGCAUCCCAUUUAUUACACGAAAAAAUGUUUCUCAUGAAAUCACUCAUGCACAAAUUAAGCCACACCCUCCUCUUCUCACGCCCUUAGUGGAUAGGAAUAAAUUGAUUUCCAUUUGAAUUCAAAAUUUGAUUUGAAUUCAAAUGUGCAAUUACUCAUCUUUAUCCUCUCACAUGGAUAAGACGUUUGACAUUGUUUUAAAAGGAGGAGAAGAG
rnacentral:lncRNA from 1 species